rnacentral:rRNA from 1 species
CCUACGGGCGGCAGCAGUGAGGAAUAUUGGUCAAUGGACGUAAGUCUGAACCAGCCAAGUAGCGUGAAGGAUGACGGCCCUAUGGGUUGUAAACUUCUUUUAUAUGGGAAUAAAAUGUUCCACGUGUGGGAUUUUGUAUGUACCAUAUGAAUAAGGAUCGGCUAAUUCCGUGCCAGCAGCCGAGGUAAUACGGAGGAUCCGAGCGUUAUCCGGAUUUAUUGGGUUUAAAGGGAGCGUAGGUGGAGUGUUAAGUCAGUUGUGAAAGUUCGCGGCGCAACCUUGAAAUUGCAGUGGAAACUGGCAGUCUUGAGUGCAGUAGAGGUGGGCGGAAUUCGUGGUGUAGCGGUGAAAUGCUUAGAUAUCACGAAGAACUCCGAUUGCGAAGGCAGUUCACUGGACUGCAACUGACACUGAGGCUCGAAAGUGUGGGUAUCAAACAGGAUUAGAUACCCCAGUAGUC